ACGGGAGGCAGCAGUGGGGAAUAUUGGACAAUGGGGGAAACCCUGAUCCAGCGACGCCGCGUGAGUGAAGAAGUAUUUCGGUAUGUAAAGCUCUAUCAGCAAGGAAGAAAAUGACGGUACUUGACUAAGAAGCCCCGGCUAACUACGUGCCAGCAGCCGCGGUAAUACGUAGGGGGCAAGCGUUAUCCGGAUUUACUGGGUGUAAAGGGAGCGUAGACGGCAAUGUAAGUCUGAAGUGAAAGCCCCGGGCUCAACCCGGGAACUGCUUUGGAAACUGUAUAGCUAGAGUGCAGGAGAGGUAAGUGGAAUUCCUAGUGUAGCGGUGAAAUGCGUAGAUAUUAGGAGGAACACCAGUGGCGAAGGCGGCUUUCUGGACUGUAACUGACACUGAGGCACGAAAGCGUGGGGAGCAAACAGGAUUAGAUACCCUGGUA
rnacentral:rRNA from 1 species